rnacentral:rRNA from 1 species
AGAGUUCGAUCCUGGCUCAGGAUAAACGCUGGCGGCGUGCUUAACACAUGCAAGUCGAACGAAGUUUUUCUUUCGGGAGGAACUUAGUGGCGGACGGGUGAGUAACGCGUGGGUAACCUGCCCUGUACAGGGGGACAACAGCUGGAAACGGCUGCUAAUACCGCAUAAGCCCUUAGCACUGCAUGGUGCAUAGGGAAAAGGAGCAAUCCGGUACAGGAUGGACCCGCGUCUGAUUAGCCAGUUGGCAGGGUAACGGCCUACCAAAGCGACGAUCAGUAGCCGAUCUGAGAGGAUGUACGGCCACAUUGGGACUGAGACACGGCCCAGACUCCUACGGGAGGCAGCAGUGGGGAAUAUUGCACAAUGGAGGAAACUCUGAUGCAGCGACGCCGCGUGAGUGAAGAAGUAUUUCGGUAUGUAAAGCUCUAUCAGCAGGGAAGAAAAUGACGGUACCUGACUAAGAAGCACCGGCUAAAUACGUGCCAGCAGCCGCGGUAAUACGUAUGGUGCAAGCGUUAUCCGGAUUUACUGGGUGUAAAGGGAGCGUAGGUGGCAAGGCAAGCCAGAAGUGAAAACCCGGGGCUCAACCGCGGGAUUGCUUUUGGAACUGUCAUGCUAGAGUGCAGGAGGGGUGAGCGGAAUUCCUAGUGUAGCGGUGAAAUGCGUAGAUAUUAGGAGGAACACCGGAGGCGAAGGCGGCUCACUGGACUGUAACUGACACUGAGGCUCGAAAGCGUGGGGAGCAAACAGGAUUAGAUACCCUGGUAGUCCACGCGGUAAACGAUGAAUACUAGAUGUCGGGUAGCAAAGCUAUUCGGUGUCGUCGCAAACGCAAUAAGUAUUCCACCUGGGGAGUACGUUCGCAAGAAUGAAAC